rnacentral:lncRNA from 1 species
GUGAUCAUAUUGAUGGUAUAUCUUUCCGCCAUGUUGAACUAUCUGCAAUUAAAAUACAUUAUAAGAGGAUAAGCUAAAGGUAAAUGUAUAAUGAAAGCAAUAUUAUAAUAUAGAUAAACAUAAGUAAGUUGUAUAUGAGAUUUACCAUUGCAAAUUAAAGCACAAAGUUCAAGAAAAGGCCUUUUCAAUAAUUUCAUUAUAGACAACAUUAUAUGUUGAAUGAUCAUCAUUUUCAUCAAUUAUAGGUGGUCUAAUUAAUACUUUAACAUUGUGAGAACUUGUUGCUCUUGAUAAAGCAACAUACAAUUGUCCAUGAGAGAAGACAGGUUCCCGUAAAUAUAUACCAACAAAAUCUAAUGUCUGUCCUUGAGCUUUAUUUAUAGUCAUGGCAAAACAUAAUCGUACAGGAAAUUGUGUUCUCUUAAAAGGAAGAGGCAAUUUUAGAAAGGUCCAUGUCCUUCUAGAAAUCCAUUCUAAUAGAUAAGGAAUAAUUACUAUUCUGCCCUUCAAUCAUAUUAGAUUUUCGGAAUUGCCAUUGGUCGUCAUGGUCGUCUUCACCUUUCUAUAUAAUAGAAAUAGAAUAGAAAUAUAUAUAGAAAAAUAUAUAUGCACACAUAUGUAACAAGAGUUUAGGGUAUUAUCAUCAUAGUUAAGCAACCCACUCUAGCAAACAAAUUGAUAGUAAACACGAAUACCUAGUUUGAGCACAAAAGAGAUGAACAAGUUUAAGGAAGAUGGAUACCCAACUUGAGCUUGAAAAUGAUUUGGGUAAAAAGUGUAAAAGAAUCAUAUGCUUAAUACGGUGAUACCUGAGAAGAUGAAGAGAUUUGAGAGUGUGGUAUGAAAUUAAGGAAAUAUUAUCUAAUAGAAAUUAUUAUAUCUAAAAUGGUUUAUGAGCAUCAAAAAGCAAUUACAAACUUCAUAAAAGUUUAGGAUAUAAUCAAACUUCAUCUUAACAUUUUUAUUUUGUGCAAUUAAUAGCAACAUAAUUCUUAGAGAGAACUAACAAUAGUAAUUUUCUUACCGCAAAGGAAGAUAUCAAAAAAUAAUAAAAUGAGCUCACAGAAUUUUGUGAGUGUAGGUUUGAAUGCAUGAGAUUUUCGCAGAGUGAACGAAGAUGAGCCCUCAUUCCAUUAGUCAUCAAUUUAGUCAUCAAUCCGAACAAUACAAUUUCAAUCUUGGUCGAAAGGGCAUAAUCACUAUAGACCUAACAAUUGUCUAUCUUCCAUAGAAGGAAUCUUGAAAGAGUUAGACAGAGAAUAUAGAGGUAGAUUACAAAGUAAUUGAAUACACAUUACCAUGUUUGUUAAGUCAUGGAUAACCUAUUGUUGAUAAACUAUUUACUGGACCAGACAGUAAUUUAUUAUUUCUUAGAUAUAUAUCUACAACUAUAUUUUUUUUUUUUGCAUAUAUGUGUGAGGACAACAUAAAUCUUUACAUCAAUUAUAAAAUUGGGGGAGAGAAUUAGACAGAAUAAUAACGAUGUCAAACCUAUAUUUUAGUGGUAAAAUUUAAAAGUUCGAAAAGAACUGGAAGAAAUUUGUUGCAAAAUUGAAAGAAGAACAUACCUGUAAUUCGUUGUUGUUGGAGUUGGAGCAAGAGAAAGGGAAGAACUGAUUCUUGUGUUGAAAAUAUUGCGUCUAUUUUGUGCUAAAGAGGAAGAUGGAGUGUUCUAGAAUUAUGGAGAGAGUGUAUUUGCCAGGUUAAAUUUACUAUUUUACCCUUGGUCGUCCUUGGUCUUCACCUUUCUAUAGAAAAAAAAAAUUGUUGGUAAGGAUAUGAAGCGUUAAAAAAUUAUUUAAAGCAUGAAUGGAAAUUUCUAGAGAAAGAUAGUUUGGCAUUUAGAUUUGAUAUUUUUGCCACGUGGAAAGAAUUUGGGGACAAGUACAAUUAUAACAAAAAUUAAAUUAAAAAAUAUUGUGUAAAUAACAAAUAUACCCUUAAAGAUCUUUAUAUCCAUCUAUUCUGCUUCUUCAUCUUUCUUUUUCCAAACAUGCACCCUCCUAUUGUUGCUGUUUCUUCUUUGCAUCUAAUUUUACUUUCUUGAUGAAAUAUCAAUGUAAGGUUAGAUUUUUGAAACAAAUGGUUAAUAAGGUAAGAAAAAUUAUGUGGAUUAGUGCAGAUAAGAUUUUUUUAUGAAACAAGCCCACUCACUUUCCCUGCAACUCCAAACAAUUCCUUCUCUCUCUUAUAUUCCUAUCCCUCGAUCUCUAACUAUAUUUUUUCCUCCAAAAUUAUGAAAAUGCUUGUCCAUUUAUUAUUUCCUACAAAAUAUUUUCAUCAAAUUCACACCCUUCAUUAUAUUUGGGAACAAAACUACAAAGUAAUUGAAAGAGAGAACACAAGAUUCUAAGAAAAUUGGGUGAAUUGAUGUAGACAUUUUUAUGGAUAUUGAUUAUAUCUACAGUGUGAUAUUCGAAUUGAGGGACAUGUUCAUAUGGUCUUGAACAACAACCUUAAUAUGAAUGAAGAAGAAAGCAUUUGAGAAAUUUAAAAGAAAAAACAUAUCUUGUAUUACUACUGAAAAUGAAAACUGAUGAAAGAAAAGUCAUACUUUGUAUUACUUCUGCAGAAAAUGAAAAUUAAAAAGAUCUUUUUAAUUUAUUUUCUGGUCAAGGAAAGAAAGAGACUCUUGCUGAUUAGGAAUGGAAAAGAAAGGUCCAUGUCCUUCUAGAAAUCCAUUCUAAUAGAUAAGGAAUAAUUACUAUUCUGCCCUUCAAUCAUAUUAGAUUUUCGAAAUUGCCAUUGGUCGUCAUGGUCGUCUUCAC